CACUGUCGCCCUACUUGGGCGUUUCCUCCCUGACUUGGGCCGCUGCGCGGCCCUUCUUUUUGACGCCU
rnacentral:sRNA from 1 species